rnacentral:rRNA from 1 species
AGCAGCCGCGGUAAUUCCAGCUCCAAUAGCGUAUAUUAAAGUUGUUGCAGUUAAAAAGCUCGUAGUUGAAUUUCGGAAUCGACGGAUUGGUCGCGCCUUCGGUGUGUACUGGUCUUGCCGGUUUCUCCCUUCUGACGAACCACGAUGUCAUUAAUUUGGUGUCGUGGGGAAUCAGGACUGUUACUUUGAAAAAUUAGAGUGUUUAAAGCAGGCAUUAGCUUGAAUACAUUAGCAUGGAAUAAUGAAAUAGGACGUUUGAUCUUAUUUUGUUGGUUUCUAGGAUCGACGUAAUGAUUAAUAGGGAUAGUUGGGGGCAUUAGUAUUCAAUUGUCAGAGGUGAAAUUCUUGGAUUUAUUGAAGACUAACUACUGCGAAAGCAUUUGCCAAGGAUGUUUUCAUUAAUCAAGAACGAAAGUUAGGGGAUCGAAGACGAUCAGAUACCGUCGUAGUCUUAACCAUAAACUAUGCCGACUAGGGAUAGGAUGAUGUUAAUUUUUAAUGUACUCA